CAUCUUCUUCCUCCAGGGUUCUCUGAGCCUCAUCAGCUCGCCAUCAGCUUCAACUCUUCUUCUUUUGCAUUCUCUCAGUCCUUGCAGCCAUUUUCCUUGCUAAGAGAUUUCCGUUCCUGUUGUGUCCCCAGUGUUUGUCACGUCUUGUCUGUCCUGUGUCACGGGUGUCUGCACACAUUUGUGCUGGAGCUGCUGUUCUGCCCUGCUGCAUAUCCUGGUGCAAUAUGAGAAGUCUCAGGGACUUGGAAUUUGUAAUGUGUAGUUGGAUUCUAGAUGGGAUUUGUAGAUGGACACAGGAUACGUGGAGCCCAUAAGUUAUCCUGCAGCCCUUUCACUUUCAUCCUAACUUUCUUUUAGUUGCAGAAGGAUAAAUCCAGGGCAGAGCCCCCCAUUCUGGGUGAGGGGAUUCCCCUGUGAAGGUCAGUCACGGUUUGUCUCUGCAGAGGAAGCAUAAAUUGUGGCUGCUGCAGCUCUGCUCUUUGUCUUUAUUUUUAGGAAGUCAAGGCAGAGAGCAGCUGUCAAGGCUGAGUGGGCAAGAUGGACUGCUUGCCAUCUAUCCUAGCCCAGCAUGCCCAUGCCAGGUGCUGUCGCUGCCCUAGGCAUGCCGGGGAAGAGAGGAGGGCAGGUGACUCGGAGUUUAGGCGGGCUGAUU